GCGGUAACACAGAGGAGCUUGCUCCUUGGGUGACGAGCGGCGGACGGGUGAGUAAAGUCUGGGGAUCUGCCUGAUGGAGGGGGAUAACUACUGGAAACGGUAGCUAAUACCGCAUGACGUCUUCGGACCAAAGUGGGGGACCUUCGGGCCUCACGCCAUGAGAUGAACCCAGAUGGGAUUAGCUGGUAGGUGAGGUAACGGCUCACCUAGGCGACGAUCCCUAGCUGGUCUGAGAGGAUGACCAGCCACACUGGAACUGAGACACGGUCCAGACUCCUACGGGAGGCAGCAGUGGGGAAUAUUGCACAAUGGGGGAAACCCUGAUGCAGCCAUGCCGCGUGUGUGAAGAAGGCCUUCGGGUUGUAAAGCACUUUCAGCGGGGAGGAAGGCAAUAAACUUAAUAAGUUUGUUGAUUGACGUUACCCGCAGAAGAAGCACCGGCUAACUCCGUGCCAGCAGCCGCGGUAAUACGGAGGGUGCAAGCGUUAAUCGGAAUGACUGGGCGUAAAGCGCACGCAGGCGGUCUGUUAAGUUGGAUGUGAAAUCCCCGGGCUCAACCCGGGAACAGCAUUCAAAACUGACAGGCUAGAGUCUCGUAGAGGGGGGUAGAAUUCCAGGUGUAGCGGUGAAAUGCGUAGAGAUCUGGAGGAAUACCGGUGGCGAAGGCGGCCCCCUGGACGAAGACUGACGCUCAGGUGCGAAAGCGUGGGGAGCAAACAGGAUUAGAUACCCUGGUAGUCCACGCCGUAAACGAUGUCGACUUGGAGGCUGUGGUCUUGAACCGUGGCUUCCGGAGCUAACGCGUUAAGUCGACCGCCUGGGGAGUACGGCCGCAAGGUUAAAACUCAAAUGAAUUGACGGGGGCCCGCACAAGCGGUGGAGCAUGUGGUUUAAUUCGAUGCAACGCGAAGAACCUUACCUACUCUUGACAUCCAGAGAAGACUGUAGAGAUACGGUUGUGCCUUCGGGAGCUCUGAGACAGGUGCUGCAUGGCUGUCGUCAGCUCGUGUUGUGAAAUGUUGGGUUAAGUCCCGCAACGAGCGCAACCCUUAUCCUUUGUUGCCAGCGAUACGGUCGGGAACUCAAAGGAGACUGCCGGUGAUAAACCGGAGGAAGGUGGGGAUGACGUCAAGUCAUCAUGGCCCUUACGAGUAGGGCUACACACGUGCUACAAUGGCGCAUACAAAGAGAAGCGAGCCUGCGAGGGUGAGCGGACCUCAUAAAGUGCGUCGUAGUCCGGAUUGGAGUCUGCAACUCGACUCCAUGAAGUCGGAAUCGCUAGUAAUCGUAGAUCAGAAUGCUACGGUGAAUACGUUCCCGGGCCUUGUACACACCGCCCGUCACACCAUGGGAGUGGGUUGCAAAAGAAGUAGGUAGC
rnacentral:rRNA from 1 species